UAGGGAAUCUUCCGCAAUGGACGCAAGUCUGACGGAGCAACGCCGCGUGAGUGAAGAAGGAUUUCGGUUCGUAAAACUCUGUUGUUAGAGAAGAACAGCGCAUAGAGUAACUGUUAUGCGUGUGACGGUAUCUAACCAGAAAGCCACGGCUAACUACGUGCCAGCAGCCGCGGUAAUACGUAGGUGGCAAGCGUUGUCCGGAUUUAUUGGGCGUAAAGCGAGCGCAGGCGGUUAGAUAAGUCUGAAGUUAAAGGCAGUGGCUCAACCAUUGUAGGCUUUUAAAACUGUUUAACUUGAGUGCAGAAGGGGAGAGUGGAAUUCCAUGUGUAGCGGUGAAAUGCGUAGAUAUAUGGAGGAACACCGGUGGCGAAAGCGGCUCUCUGGUCUGUAACUGACGCUGAGGCUCGAAAGCGUGGGGAGCGAACAGG
rnacentral:rRNA from 1 species